GUGGGUAUCGCUCAGUGGUAGAGCGCAUGCUUAACAUGCACAAGGUCCCAGUUUCAAUUCCUAGUACUUCCA
rnacentral:tRNA from 1 species